rnacentral:lncRNA from 1 species
AGCAGAAAGAACACGGUAUGAACCUCUGUGAAUUUCAAAAAUGUAACAGAUCAUCGCUUAAAUUAGGGAAAUAGCAAUAAGCCAGAUGGCGAAUGCCGCCACGGCGCCAGGAUAUAUCUUUGAUCUGACCAGUGAAACAGUAUAAAAACUGCAACGAUAACUCCGGCUUUGUUUUUGAAGCCAAGGUGGCGGAAAUUGAAGCCCAUCUUGUAGUUAUGCCCUUGGCCCCUACACGGAAAUUCACAAAAUUCAGUACGAAAAAUCUGCAUUAUUUCAUGUAGAAAUUUCACGAUUUUUCAGGCGACUAAUUUUUUAGUCAGGCUUUACUAUUGAAAAAAUCAAUCGUAAAAUCUUAGUCAUUUUUCAGUUCGCGCGAAGUCCACGCGAAAUACACGCGUGAUUUAUACCUACAUGCAAGAGAUGACUCUUCAUCCUAUCAUCUCGCUUCAUCCUAUUAUAGGUCCUUUUAUCUGGAGUUAUCGUUCCGGUAUUUAUAGAGUUCACUAGAUCUGAUACGUGCCCUGCAGUCCUUUAUAGCUAUGACGACUGGUUAACGAGAGUCUUUGACUAUGUGCACACGGUAACGUUUUCAAGCG